rnacentral:rRNA from 1 species
CUUGUCUCAAAGAUUAAGCCAUGCAUGUCUAAGUAUAAAUGAUAUACAGUAAAACUGCGAAUGGCUCAUUAAAACAGUUAUAGUUUAUUUGGUAAUCGAAUUUACAUGGAUAACCGUGGUAAUUCUAGAGCUAAUACAUGCUGGUGUGCCUGACUUUUCGGAAGGGCGGUAUUUAUUAGAUAACGAACCAAUAUUCCUCUGGUCUAUUGUGGUGAAUCAUAAUAACUGAUCGAAUCGCAAAGCCUUUGGCUGCGAUAUGUCAUUCAAGUUUCUGCCCCAUCAGCUUUCGAUGGUAGUGUAUUGGACUACCAUGGCUUUUACGGGUAACGGAGAAUUAGGGUUCGAUUCCGGAGAGGGAGCCUGAGAAACGGCUACCACAUCUAAGGAAGGCAGCAGG